AAUUGUAAGGUAAACUAAAACGCCAGCACACUGUGGGUUUUGUGGGUUGUGUUCGUUUCAGUUUGUUGGACGUUGUAGAGAGAGAGAGAGAGAGAGAGAGAGAGAAUGAGCUUGACACGAAGAGUUUCAACAAGCCUCCCCCAAGUUAUUGGAUUUGCAAAUAGGUCCUUCAAGUCCUUGAGAUUCCCUGGCCAGUCCCUCGAUUCCUCAAGCUCUUCCGUUCUCACCCAUGGAAUCCACGUCUUCCAAUGCCCUGAUGCGGUCGGGAUUGUUGCCAAGCUGUCAGAUUGUAUAGCUUCUAAAGGAGGCAACAUACUCGGCGCCGAUGUUUUUGUACCCGAAAACAAGCGAGUCUUCUAUUCUAGAAGUCAGUUUAUUUUUGAUCCUGUUAAAUGGCCACGUGAGCAAAUGGAUGAAGACUUUAAUAAUCUGUCAAAAAUGUUCAACGCAAUGAGAUCUGUUGUCCGGGUGCCAGACCAAGACCCCAAAUAUAAAAUUGCUGUCCUUGCUUCAAAACAGGACCAUUGCCUGGUUGAUUUGUUGCAUGGAUGGCAGGACGGAAGACUACCAGUAGAUAUAACCUGUGUAAUAAGUAAUCAUGAUAGAGGUUCAAACACCCAUGUAAUUCGUUUUCUUGAAAGGCAUGGUAUUCCUUAUCACUAUUUACGCACAACCAAGGAGAAUAAAAGAGAAGGGGAUAUCCUAGAGUUGGUUCCGAAUACAGAUUUUUUAGUACUUGCUAGGUACAUGCAGAUAUUAUCUGGUAAUUUCUUAAGGAGCUAUGGAAAGGAUGUUAUUAACAUUCACCAUGGCCUGUUGCCAUCAUUCAAGGGUGGGAAUCCAUCUAGACAGAUUGUGUUGGCAGGCUUUUGAUGCAGGCGUGAAAUUGAUUGGUGCAACAAGUCACUUUGUGACUGAAGAACUUGAUGCGGGGCCUAUUAUCGAACAGAUGGUUGAGAGAGUUUCCCACAGAGAUAACUUGCUGAGUUUUGUGCAGAAAUCAGAGAACCUUGAGAAACAAUGCCUUGCAAAGGCUAUAAAGUCGUACUGUGAGCUGCGAGUGUUACCUUAUGAGGGCAAGAAGACUGUUUUAUUUUGAGGGUAAAGAAGUAUAUAAAGUGGUUUAGAGAGGGGUUGCAAACUCUAUGUAUUAUACAUUCAAUUCUUCAUUUGAAUUGUUCGCACAAUAUAUUUCACUUGGUUCUGGAAUUCAAAUAACAUGCGCAAUCAUUCAUACCUGUACUU